CCAGCACCCCGAGUGGUCGGGGCGAUUAUUGGGCCUAAAGCAUCCGUAGCCGGUUUUACAAGUCCUCCGUUAAAUCCAACUGCUUAACAGAUGGGCCGCGGAGGAUACUAUAAGACUAGGAGGCAGGAGAGGCAAGCGGUACUCAGUGGGUAGGGGUAAAAUCCGUUGAUCCAUUGAAGACCACCAGUGGCGAAGGCGGCUUGCCAGAAUGCGCUCGACGGUGAGGGAUGAAAGCUGGGGGAGCAAACCGGAUUAGAUACCCGGGUAGUCCCAGCUGUAAACGAUGCAGACUCGGUGAUGGACCAGCUUCAUGCUAGUCCAGUGCCGCAGGGAAGCCGUUAAGUCUGCCGCCUGGGUAGUACGGUCGCAAGACUG
rnacentral:rRNA from 1 species